UACGAAGGGGGCUAGCGUUGCUCGGAAUCACUGGGCGUAAAGGGCGCGUAGGCGGCCGGGUUGGUCGUGGGUGAAAUCCCCCAGCUUAACUGGGGAACUGCCUACGAUACUGCCUGGCUCGAGGGAGGAAGGGGCGGUCGGAACUGUCGGUGGAGCGGUGAAAUGCGUUGAUAUCGACAGGAACGCCGGUGGCGAAAGCGGACCGCUGGCCCUCUUCUGACGCUGAGGCGCGAAAGCCAGGGGAGCGAACGGG
rnacentral:rRNA from 1 species